AGAGCGAACGCUGGCGGCAUGCUUAACACAUGCAAGUCGCACGGUUGGGGGGCAACCUCCGGCAGUGGCGGACGGGUGAGUAACGCGUAGGGAUCUAUCCAUGGGUGGGGGACAACCGCGGGAAACCGCGGCUAAUACCGCAUGAUGCCUGAGGGCCAAAGCUCGCGAGAGCGCCUGGGGAGAGCCUGCGUCCGAUUAGCUAGUUGGUGGGGUAACGGCUCACCAAGGCGUCGAUCGGUAGCUGGUCUGAGAGGAUGAUCAGCCACACUGGGACUGAGACACGGCCCAGACUCCACGGAGGCAGCAGUGGGGAAUAUUGGACAAUGGGCGCAAGCCUGAUCCAGCAAUGCCGCGUGGGUGAAGAAGGUCUUCGGAUUGUAAAGCCCUUUCGGCGGGGACGAUGAUGACGUACCGCAGAAGAAGCCCGGCUAACUUCGCGCCAGCCAGCCGCGGUAAU
rnacentral:rRNA from 1 species